GGGGUGACAGCCAGGCCCAGGUGCUGGGCAGGUACAGAGGGCAGGGCUGUUGCUGAACUCGAGCGAUCUGAAGUGCCAGACACAGGGCCAGGGGUCCAAAACACAAAACAAACGCAAAGGCACCCCCAGAGGAAAAGCCCAGAGUCUAAAUUUUAAACAGGAAGAAGCAGGCGCUGGCCCCGAGGAAGAUAACAGGCCCAGGAGGGAACACAGCAACAGCGGAGCAGCAGAGCAGGCCUGGGGAGGGCAGGGCGUCCAUGCUGAGCCGCCUGCCUGGCUCCAGGUGCCAGGCCUGGGCUCUGCCCACCACACAGAGGGCCCCAGCCGGCCAGACAUGGGGACACUCCCAGGUCCCUGUCCCCAGCCUCCAGCAGGGGGAGUGCUCAGAGGGCCCCAGGAUCACUUGGAUGGGGGACGAGAAGGCCAGUGCCCCACGGAAAGCGAGACCCACUGCCCUGAGCCCCUCCUCUCUGCCACCCUUGGCCUGGAUGUUGAAGAUGGAACUAAGGGCCUCUUGCCUGUUGGGGAGCACCUCCAGCCAUGCACCUUCGGACCAAAACCUUGACAAUGACCAGAGAUUGCUUUCACAGUGAGAAAAUACUUUCAAAAUUAUAAACUUAGUACCAAUCACGCCUUGAGAAGAAGCAAGAUAUAUCAUGUACAGGUGUAAAUCCCCUAUAAUGAAUGUUAUCAUUAUGUAUAUCUAAAAUGUAUCAAUAAAUG
rnacentral:lncRNA from 1 species